GGUUCUUUGGAAAAUAAAAGGCUCUAAGUUUCCAGAACUGGUUCUACUUGGAAUUUUCCCUAAAAAGAAAACCCACUUGUAGAAUUCUAGACAGAACUUUUAUGGGUUUACCCCAGAGAACCUUAGAUAUCUAGAUUUAACCUUUCAGUUUAUGGGUGUGCAGCUCCUCACCCAACAUCUUCUUAAUCAUGGACACCUGAAGUCCACCUCCUCAAGAAUAAUUAAAUGAAGCUUUAUGAAAAUGCUUCCUUAAGAUCAAAUCUAGAACAUUCUAUGUAGAACACUACAACAGAGGUUCCAAAUCAGUGCAUGGUCUUAGCAUCUAACUCUUGUUCUUGGAAGUGAAUUCAAACUUUUUAAGAAUCCAAGAUUCUAACAAAAUGUAGAGGAUUCCUUCUUCUACAUUUUAUUAGAAUCUUGGAUUCUUAAAUUCUUAAACACUUCAAUCCUGAAGUGGAGAGUGGAGGACCCAGUGAGGAGAUGGUGUAGGUUCUGUUGUCUAACUGAGGUUUCUCCCAAGAUAUAAACCCAAUUGAGACUUUCUUUCAACACCACAGCUGUUGUCUUAACUUUUUAGGCUACUGGAUCCUGAAUAUCUGGGUUGAAGUAAUGGAUUGUGGAACAGAAGAUCCUACUUACUAAAUUAACAAGUUAGACAAGCGCUAGCCAGCAGUAGCAUUGGUAUGCAGAUAACCUUUGGUAAUUUGGACAGAUGUAGCUAAACACCAUCCUUCCACCUUGAUGUUAUGAAGUUUGCUUGGUGCACUGGACAUGAAAAUUUCCAAAACCAGCAUCAGCAAAAUCUAGGCGAAUGAGGAACUCGUAUAUGUCCGUAUAUGGGGGUUGCGGGGGAACCUGGAGCCUAUCCCAGGGAGCAUCGGGCACAAGGCGGGAUACACCCUGGACAGGGUGCCAGUCCAUCGCAGAGCACACUACAUACACACUCACACGCCAAUCAGCCUACCAUGCAUGUCUUUGGGGAGGAAAUCAGAGUACCCCUGCAGCACGUGGAGAACAUGCAAACUCCACACACACGGCCCCAGGGGGAAUCGAACCCUGGAGGUGUGAGGCAAACGUGCUAACCACUAAGCCACAAUAUUCACACAAUAUUCUACAACUCGAUAUUCUACACUCUCAAUAUUCUACACAAUAUUCUACAACUCGAUAUUCUACACAAUAUUCUACACUCUCAAUAUUCUACCCACUUGAUAUUCUACACAAUAUUCUACACACUCGAUAUUCUACACAAUAUUCUACACAAUAUUCUACACACUCUUUUCUCUGGUUAAGUUGUGUAGCUGUGGAAUUUUGAUUUCAA